GGGGGCGUAGCUCAGUGGGAGAGCGCCUGCAUGGCAUGCAGGAGGUCGUGGGUUCGAAUCCCACCGCCUCCACUA
rnacentral:tRNA from 5 species